CCUACGGGGGGCUGCAGUCAAGAAUCUUCCACAAUGGGCGAAAGCCUGAUGGAGCGACGCCGCGUGCAGGAUGAAGGCCCUCGGGUCGUAAACUGCUUUUAUAGGGGACGAAUUAGUGACGGUACCCUAAGAAUAAGAGGUUGCUAACUCUGUGCCAGCAGCAGCGGUAAUACAGAGACCUCAAGUGUUAUCCGGAUUUAUUGGGCGUAAAGCGUCCGCAGAUUGUUUGACGGGUCAGGGGUUAAAAUCCAGUGCUUAACACUGGAACUGCCUUU
rnacentral:rRNA from 1 species